AUCAAUCCGCUAACCAAGCCACUUCUUGAUUCUCAAAGCUUUGAUGGUAAAGUCAAAGAUCUUAUGAGUAUUUGGGCUUGAAUCGUAUAACAAGGAAGCACUACUUUACUUUUCGU
rnacentral:sRNA from 1 species